UGGCGGACGGGUGAGUAACGCGUGGGUAACCUGCCUUGUACUGGGGGACAACAGUUGGAAACGACUGCUAAUACCGCAUAAGCGCACAGCUUCGCAUGAAGCAGUGUGAAAAACUCCGGUGGUACAAGAUGGACCCGCGUCUGAUUAGCUGGUUGGUGAGGUAACGGCCCACCAAGGCGACGAUCGGUAGCCGGCCUGAGAGGGUGAACGGCCACAUUGGGACUGAGACACGGCCCAA
rnacentral:rRNA from 1 species